GUGCUCUCUUUGGCAGCACAUAUACUAAAAUUGGAACGAUACAGAGAAGAUUAGUAUGGUCCUUGCGCCAGGAUGACAUGCAAAUUCGUGAAGUGUUCCAUAUUUUU
rnacentral:snRNA from 1 species